rnacentral:rRNA from 1 species
GAUGAACGCUGGCGGCGUGCCUAAUACAUGCAAGUCGAACGAACGGACGAUAAUCUUGCUGUUCUGAUGUUAGCGGCGGACGUGUGAGUAACACGUGUAUAACCUACCUAUAUUACGGAGAUAACUUCGGGAAACCGGAGCUAAUACCGGAGAAUAUUUUGAACCGCAGGGUUCAAAGGUGAAAUACGGUCUUGCGGGCACUUAUAGAUGGUUCCGCGCUGCAUUAGCUAGUUGGUAAGGUAACGGCUUACCAAGGCAACGAUGCAUAGCCGACCUGAUAGGGUGGUAGGCCACCUGGGAACGGAGCCAGCGUCCAUAGUACUACGGGAGGCAGCAGUAGGGAACCUUCCGCAAUGGGCGAAAGCCUGACGGAGCAACGCCGAGUGAGUGAUGAAGGUCUUCGGAUCGUAAAACUCUGUUAUUAGGGAAGAACAUAUGUGUAAGUAACUGUGCACAUCUUGACGGUACCUAAUAAGAAAGCAACGGCUAACUACGUG